rnacentral:snRNA from 2 species
AUCACUUCUCAGUCUUUUGAAUAAGAUCAAGUGUAGUAUCUGCUCUUAUGAGUUUAAUACCUGAUACGUCCUCUAUCUGAGGACAGUAUAUUAAAUGGAUUUUUGGAGCAGGGACUUGGAAUAGGAGCUUGCUCCAUCCACUCCAAGCAUCAGCCUGGUAUUUCAGUACUUCCAAGAAUGGUGCAUCCUCU